UCGGGAAUUUUGGGCAAUGGGCGAAAGCCUGACCCAGCAACGCCGCGUGAGGGAUGAAGUAUUUCGGUAUGUAAACCUCGAAAGAAUGGGAAGAAUAAAUGACGGUACCAUUUAUAAGCUCCGGCUAACUACGUGCCAGCAGCCGCGGUAAUACGUAGGGAGCAAGCGUUGUUCGGAUUUACUGGGCGUAAAGGGCGCGUAGGCGGCGGGGUAAGUCACUUGUGAAAUCUCUGAGCUUAACUCAGAACGGCCAAGUGAUACUGCUGUGCUAGAGUGCGGAAGAGGCAACCGGAAUUCUUGGUGUAGCGGUGAAAUGCGGAGAUAUCAAGAGGAACACCUGAGGCGAAGGCUGGUUUCUGGGCCGACACUGACGCUGAUGCGCGAAAGCCAGGGGAGCAAACG
rnacentral:rRNA from 1 species